UGAAUACGAGACGCUAAGGCGUCGAAGUAGUGUAUGUCAUACUUCCAAGAAAAGCUUGCACUGUCAUAAGUAAAAAAUGCCUGUACCAUAACCGACACAGGUGGGUAGGUAGAGUAUACUAAGGGGCGCGAGAUAACUCUCUCUAAGGAACUCGGCAAAAUAACUCCGUAACUUCGGGAGAAGGAGUACCUUAUUCUAUAAGGUUGCAAUAACAAGAUCCAAGCAACUGUUUAUCAAAAACACAGGUCUCCGCUAAGUCGUAAGACGAUGUAUGGGGGCUGACGCCUGCCCAGUGCCAGAAGGUUAAAGAAGUCGGUUAGCAUUAGCGAAGCUGGUAACUGAAGCCCUGGUGAACGGCGGCCGUAACAAUAACGGUCCUAAGGUAGCGAAAUUCCUUGUCGGGUAAGUUCCGACCCGCACGAAAGGCGUAAUGAUUUGGAUACUGUCUCGGAGAGGGGCUCGGUGAAAUAGACUUGUCUGUGAAGAUGCGGACUACCUGCACCAGGACAGAAAGACCCUAUGAAGCUUUACUGUAACUUGAAAUUGAAAUUGGACUUUAUUCGCGCAGUAUAGGUGGGAGGUGUUGAUUAUAAUCUUGCGGGAUUAUUGGAGCCAUCAGUGAGAUACCACUCUUGUAAUGUUAGAUUUCUAACUUUGAAUCAUUAUCUGGUCAAAGGACAGUUUCAGGCGGGCAGUUUGACUGGGGCGGUCGCCUCCCAAACGGUAACGGAGGCGUACAAAGGUUUCCUCUGAACGGGUAGAAAUCGUAUCUAGAGUGUAAAGGCAUAAGGAAGCUUGACUGUGAGACCUACAAGUCGAACAGGGACGAAAGUCGGUCUUAGUGAUCUGACGGUACUGAGUGGAAAGGCCGUCACUCAACGGAUAAAAGUUACUCUAGGAUAACAGGCUGAUCUCCCCCAAGAGUUCACAUCGACGGGGAGGUUUGGCACCUCGAUGUCGGCUCAUCGCAUCCUGGGGCGGUAGUACGUCCCAAGGGUUGGGCUGUUCGCCCAUGAAAGCGGUACGCGAGCUGGGUUCAGAACGUCGUGAGACAGUUCGGUCCAUAUCCGGUGUAGGCGUUAGAAUAUUGAGAGGAGCCUUCUUUAGUACGAGAGGACCGAGAAGGACAUACCUCUGGUGUACCAGUUAUCGUGCCAACGGUAAACGCUGGGUAGCUAUGUAUGGAGUGGAUAACCGCUGAAAGCAUCUAAGUGGGAAGCCCACCUCAAGAUAAGUAUUC
rnacentral:rRNA from 1 species